GAUGAACGCUGGCGGCGUGCCUAAUACAUGCAAGUCGAGCGAACAGACGAGGAGCUUGCUCCUCUGACGUUAGCGGCGGACGGGUGAGUAACACGUGGAUAACCUACCUAUAAGACUGGGAUAACUUCGGGAAACCGGAGCUAAUACCGGAUAAUAUAUUGAACCGCAUGGUUCAAUAGUGAAAGACGGUUUUGCUGUCACUUAUAGAUGGAUCCGCGCCGCAUUAGCUAGUUGGUAAGGUAACGGCUUACCAAGGCAACGAUGCGUAGCCGAGCUGAGAGGGUGAUCGGGCACACUGGAACUGAGACACGGUCCAGACUCCUACGGGAGGCAGCAGUAGGGAAUCUUCCGCAAUGGGCGAAAGCCUGACGGAGCAACGCCGCGUGAGUGAUGAAGGUCUUCGGAUCGUAAAACUCUGUUAUUAGGGAAGAACAAAUGUGUAAGUAACUAUGCACGUCUUGACGGUACCUAAUCAGAAAGCCACGGCUAACUACGUGCCAGCAGCCGCAGUAA
rnacentral:rRNA from 1 species